rnacentral:rRNA from 1 species
UGAGCAAUCUACCUUUUUGUGGGGGAUAGCCGGCCCAACGGCCGGGUAAUACCGCGUACGACCACAUGGGGACAUCCCUGAGUGGUGAAAGCAGCAAUGCGCCGAUGGAGUGCCUCACGGCCUAUCAGCUAGUUGGUGAGGUGACGGCUCACCAAGGCGACGACGGGUAGCUGGUCUGAGAGGAUGGCCAGCCACAUUGGGACUGAGACACGGCCCAGAUCCUACGGG